AGCGUAGACGGAAUGGCAAGUCUGAUGUGAAAGGCCGGGGCUCAACCCCGGGACUGCAUUGGAAACUGUCAAUCUAGAGUACCGGAGGGGUAAGCGGAAUUCCUAGUGUAGCGGUGAAAUGCGUAGAUAUUAGGAGGAACACCAGUGGCGAAGGCGGCUUACUGGACGGUAACUGACGUUGAGGCUCGAAAGUGUGGGUAGCAAACA
rnacentral:rRNA from 1 species